GACGAACGCUGGCGGCGUGCUUAACACAUGCAAGUCGAACGGAAAGGCCCUGCUUUUGUGGGGUGCUCGAGUGGCGAACGGGUGAGUAACACGUGAGUAACCUGCCCUUGACUUUGGGAUAACUUCAGGAAACUGGGGCUAAUACCGGAUAGGAGCUCCUGCUGCAUGGUGGGGGUUGGAAAGUUUCGGCGGUUGGGGAUGGACUCGCGGCUUAUCAGCUUGUUGGGGGGGUAGUGGCUUACCAAGGCUUUGACGGGUAGCCGGCCUGAGAGGGUGAACGGCCACCUUGGGACUGAGGGACGGCCCAGACUCCUACGGGACGCAGCAGUGGGGAAUAUUGCACAAUGGGCGGACGCCUGAUGCAGCAACGCCGCGUGCGGGAUGACGGCCUUCGGGUUGUAAACCGCUUUCGCCUGUGACGAAGCGUGAGUGACGGUAAUGGGUAAAGAAGCACCGGCUAACUACGUG
rnacentral:rRNA from 1 species